UCUCCGUUGAAAGCUUCUAAUUAAUUUUUUUCAUUUGGGUAUUUUUUUUUCUAUGGAUUUAUGUAUUUUUUUCCCCCAGUGAAUUCGAAAUGAAAUCAGAAAAACCAAUUUAGUAAACAAAUUGAUGAAAUUUUUAUUUGCCUGCCCUGUUUUUGAUUUGUUUGGUUUGGCUUUUAGAGAAUAAAGUAGCUUGCUGCUACCCUUGAUUUUCCAGUGACAUAUGAUGAUUAUUAAGCUUUUUCUUUGCUCUCUUUUUUCGCAUCUUUCUAAUUGUUUAUGUGCAAAUGGGGUUGAACGUAUUAAUGAGUGGUUGUGUUGUUUGCAGCGAGCUCCGUUCAACCUCCGGCCGCAGGUGCAUGAAGGCGACGUGGUCCUGGUCGACGGUGUCUUCCUUCACAGUUCCGGACGACGGUUCUGAACCUCUGGCGAUUCCGACUGUGAGAGAAGUCAAUAACAACAAGCUCCGGCCACAGUUGUGUGAAGGUGACAUGGUCCUGGUCGACGGUUCGGAAGCUCUGGCGAUUCUGACUGAGAAAGAGGUCAAUAACAAGAAGGUAAUGGGCACGCACCUAUGGCCAUGCAACUGGCCUUUGGUAAUAGUGGUGACGGUGACGUGAGCUACGUAUGUCAUGCUGGCAAGUGCUUCUCCUCUGAACCCCAUCGACUUUAUCGACUGCCAGUCCUCAAACGCCGAGUGUUGCCGCUCACACGGUAUCGGCAGAAGGGACUGACGCGUAUGCCUUGGCCGUCGUCGGAGACUUGGAUUAGUUUGAGGCCGCCGUCCUUGACGACGACGUUGAUGGAGGAGGAGCGGGCGUCGAGGCUGUUCUCGACGAGCUCUUUGACGGCGGAGACAGGGCUUUGGAUGACCUCGCCGGCAGCGAUUCGGUUCAGCAGAGACUCUUCUAGGAGGUGAAUUUUGGGAGGCUCCGUCGCGACUUGCUCUUCUUCUUCUGCUUCAAUUUCCAUUUCCGUUGCACUGCACUCGUUUGGAAGCGCCAAAUUUUCCCGGCACCGUCAAAAUGAAGAAGAAACGAGUUAUUUAUUAUUUUUUUUUUUUAUAUUUUUUUGGUUCAAUAGAGGAGAGUAAAAUUAGGUUAAGAAUUGCGUUGCCAUUUAAUAUUACGGUGAAUAGUAUUUUUCUUUAUUUAUAUGUGAGAGAUUUUAAGUUCAAUUAUUAUUAAUGACAAAUUUAAACUAGAUUAUUAUGGUUAAA